rnacentral:rRNA from 1 species
GUGGGUAGUUUGACUGGGGCGGUCUCCUCCCAAAGAGUAACGGAGGAGCACGAAGGUUGGCUAAUCCUGGUCGGACAUCAGGAGGUUAGUGCAAUGGCAUAAGCCAGCUUGACUGCGAGCGUGACGGCGCGAGCAGGUGCGAAAGCAGGUCAUAGUGAUCCGGUGGUUCUGAAUGGAAGGGCCAUCGCUCAACGGAUAAAAGGUACUCCGGGGAUAACAGGCUGAUACCGCCCAAGAGUUCAUAUCGACGGCGGUGUUUGGCACCUCGAUGUCGGCUCAUCACAUCCUGGGGCUGAAGUAGGUCCCAAGGGUAUGGCUGUUCGCCAUUUAAAGUGGUACGCGAGCUGGGUUUAGAACGUCGUGAGACAGUUCGGUCCCUAUCUGCCGUGGGCGCUGGAGAAUUGAGGGGGGCUGCUCCUAGUACGAGAGGACCGGAGUGGACGCAUCACUGGUGUUCGGGUUGUCAUGCCAAUGGCACUGCCCGGUAGCUAAAUGCGGAAGAGAUAAGUGCUGAAAGCAUCUAAGCACGAAACUUGCCCCGAGAUGAGUUCUCCCUGAGACCUUGAGUCUCCUGAAGGAACGUUGAAGACGACGACGUUGAUAGGUCGGGUGUGUAAGCGCAGCGAUGCGUUGAGCUAACCGAUACUAAUGAACCGUGAGGCUUAACCUU